rnacentral:lncRNA from 1 species
UGCAUUUAACUGCAUGGUGGUAGAGGGCAGUGUAAUUCCCUGGUUAUUCUGUAGACUAUCUCAAAUCCUUUUUGUCUCUUCUCAUUUCACUAACAGAAUUCAGAAGGAGCUAGCUGAAAUAACCCUUGAUCCUCCUCCUAAUUGCAGUGCUGGGCCUAAAGGAGAUAACAUUUAUGAAUGGAGAUCAACUAUACUUGGUCCACCGGGUUCUGUAUAUGAAGGUGGUGUGUUUUUUCUGGAUAUCACAUUUUCAUCAGAUUAUCCAUUUAAGCCACCAAAGGUAAGAAGCUUGAAGUGCAUUCUUUAGUAUUUAAUCCUUCUCCUCUAAAAUCGGUUAUUCUAGAACUUAAAUGUGUAUUGAUGCAGUUAUUUUGAUU